rnacentral:rRNA from 1 species
GAUGAACGCUGGCGGCGUGCCUAAUACAUGCAAGUCGAGCGAACAGACGAGGAGCUUGCUCCUCUGACGUUAGCGGCGGACGGGUGAGUAACACGUGGAUAACCUACCUAUAAGACUGGGAUAACUUCGGGAAACCGGCUCUAAUACCGGAUAAUAUAUUGAACCGCAUGGUUCAAUAGUGAAAGACGGUUUUGCUGCUACUUAUAGAUGGAUCCGCGCCGCAUUAGCUAGUUGGUAAGGUAACGGCUUACCAAGGCAACGAUGCGUAGCCGACCUGAGAGGGUGAUCGGCCAAACUGGAACUGAGACACGGUCCAGACUCCUACGGGAGGCAGCAGUAGGGAAUCUUCCGCAAUGGGCGAAAGCCUGACGGAGCAACGCCGCGUGAGUGAUGAAGGUCUUCGGAUCGUAAAACUCUGUUAUUAGGGAAGAACAAAUGUGUAAGUAACUAUGCACGUCUUGACGGUACCUAAUCAGAAAGCCACGGCUAACUACGUG